GUGCUUGCUUCGGCAGCACAUAUACUAAAAUUGGAACGAUACAGAGAAGAUUAGUAUGGCCCCUGUGCAAGGAUGACACACAAAUUCAUGAAGCGUUCCAUAUUUUU
rnacentral:snRNA from 1 species